rnacentral:rRNA from 1 species
AGUAACGGCGAGUGAAGCGGUAACAGCUCAAAUUUGAAAUCUGGCCUCACGGUCCGAGUUGUAAUUUGUAGAGGAUGCUUCGAGCAUGGUCUGGCCUAAGUUCCUUGGAACAGGACGUCAUAGAGGGUGAGAAUCCCGUAUGCGGCCAGGUGCCUACGCUCAUGUGAAGCUCCUUCGACGAGUCGAGUUGUUUGGGAAUGCAGCUCAAAAUGGGUGGUAAAUUUCAUCUAAAGCUAAAUAUUGGCCAGAGACCGAUAGCGCACAAGUAGAGUGAUCGAAAGAUGAAAAGCACUUUGGAAAGAGAGUUAAACAGUACGUGAAAUUGUUGAAAGGGAAGCGCUUGCAACCAGACUUGCGCGCGGCUGAUCAUCCGGUGUUCUCACCGGUGCACUCGGCCGUGCUCAGGCCAGCAUCGGUUUUGGCGGCUGGAUAAAGGCCCUAGGAAUGUGGCUCCUCUCGGGGAGUGUUAUAGCCUAGGGUGCAAUGCAGCCUGCUGGGACCGAGGACCGCGCUUCGGCUAGGAUGCUGGCGUAAUGGUUGUAAGCGGCCCGUCUUGAAACACGGACCAAGGAGUCUAACAUCUAUGCGAGUGUUUGGGUGUCAAACCCAUACGCGUAAUGAAAGUGAACGGAGGUGAGAACCCUUAAGGGUGCAUCAUCGACCGAUCCUGAUGUCUUCGGAAGGAUUUGAGUAAGAGCAUAGCUGUUGGGACCCGAAAGA